ensembl:lncRNA
AUCUCCUUUCCCCUCCCUCACACACUCACACCAAUUGUGACACCUUUUCAAGGCUGUCCUUUAAUGUGUGUGUUUGGAAAGUAGAAAAGGAGGCGGCAAAGAAAUACACGUAAUACAAUUUACUCCAAGACCCAAGACUUAAGACCAUGUAUCAGAGAUGACUUCGCUUAGGGGUUCAGAAAAUUCACUGGCAGAAGUCCAAGAUUAAGGUGCCAGCACAUUUAGUUUCUGGCAAGGCGUCUGUUCCUGGCUUGCAAUGGUCACCUUCUGAAUGGAUCUUCACAUUGAUAGAAAAGAGCUAUACGUCCUCUUUCACAGACGAGCAAGUGAACCACAAAGAGGUCAUGUUGCCCAAGGCCAUAGUGCUAACUCAUCAGUGAUGGAGCAGGCAGUUGUCUCCAGUGGACGAGUACUGAGCUGCUCCUCUGAACCGCGCACUUCCUAGCUUACUCUUUCUCCUCCGUGAUGCCCCUCUGCCAUGCCACCCUACAUUGGAGCCAGCCAACUACGGACUGAAACCUCUACAAACUGUGGCUGCAAUAAAUCUUUCCUCCC